ACACGUAGGUGGCGAGCGUUGUUCGGAUUUAUUGGGCGUAAAGGGCGCGUAGGCGGAGGCUCAAGCUUGGUGUAAAAUACCCCGGCUCAACUGGGGAGAUGCGCUGAGAACUGAGCCACUAGAGUCCAGGAGGGGGAGCCGGAAUUCCAGGUGUAGGGGUGAAAUCUGUAGAUAUCUGGAAGAACACCGGUGGCGAAGGCGGGCUCCUGGCCAUGGACUGACGCUGAGGCGCGAAAGUGUGGGGAGCGAACAGGAUUAGAUACCCUGGUAGUCCACACCGUAAACGAUGUACACUAGGUGUCCGGGAGAAAUCCUGGGUACCGGAGCCAACGCAUUAAGUGUACCGCCUGGGGAGUAUGCCCGCAAGGGUGAAACUCAAAUGAAUUGACGGGG
rnacentral:rRNA from 1 species